UACAGAGGUCCCAAGCGUUGUUCGGAUUCAUUGGGCGUAAAGGGGGCGUAGGCGGCGCAGUAAGUCGGGUGUGAAAUCUCGGAGCUUAACUCCGAAACUGCAUUCGAUACUGCCGUGCUUGAGGACUGGAGAGGAGACUGGAAUUUACGGUGUAGCGGUGAAAUGCGUAGAUAUUCGCAAGAACACCAGUGGCGAAGGCGGCUCACUGGCCCGGUACUGACGCUGAGGUGCGAAAGCGUGGGGAGCAAACAGG
rnacentral:rRNA from 1 species